AUACGUAGGGGGCUAGCGUUAUCCGGAAUUACUGGGCGUAAAGGGUGCGUAGGUGGUUUCUUAAGUCAGAGGUGAAUGGCUACGGCUCAACCGUAGUAAGCCUUUGAAACUGGGAAACUUGAGUGCAGGAGAGGAGAGUGGAAUUCCUAGUGUAGCGGUGAAAUGCGUAGAUAGGGGUUAGGAGGAACACCAGUUGCGAAGGCGGCUCUCUGGACUGUAACUGACACUGAGGCACGAAAGCGUGGGGAGC
rnacentral:rRNA from 1 species